rnacentral:rRNA from 1 species
GACGAACGCUGGCGGCGUGCUUAACACAUGCAAGUCGAACGGAAAGGCCCUGCUUUCGUGGGGUGCUCGAGUGGCGAACGGGUGAGUAACACGUGAGUAACCUGCCCUUGACUUUGGGAUAACUUCAGGAAACUGGGGCUAAUACCGGAUAGGAGCUCCCGCUGCAUGGUGGGGGUUGGAAAGUUUCGGCGGUUGGGGAUGGACUCGCGGCUUAUCAGCUUGUUGGUGGGGUAGUGGCUUACCAAGGCUUUGACGGGUAGCCGGCCUGGGAGGGUGACCGGCCACAUUGGGACUGAGGGACGGCCCAGACUCCUACGGGAGGCAGCGGUGGAAAAUAUUGCCCAAUGAGCGGACGCCGGAUGAAGCAACGCCGCGUGCGGGAUGACGGCCUUCGGGUUAUAAACCGCUUUAGCCUGUGACGACGCGUGUGUGACGGUAAUGAGUGAAGAAGCACCGGCUAACUACGUG